GAUGAAGAACGCAGCGAAAUGCGAUAAGUAAUGUGAAUUGCAGAAUUCAGUGAAUCAUCGAAUCUUUGAACGCACCUUGCACCCUUUGGCAUUCCGAAGGGUAUGCUCGUUUGAGUGUCAUUGUACUCUCACACUCUCCGAUCCUAUGGAUUCGGGGAGCGGUGGACUUGGGUGUUGCUGCCUUUCCUUGUGGCUCACCUCAAAUGUGUCAGUGCACCUCUUGGUUGGACAUAGUACGGCGUGAUAAGUGUCUUCGCCGGCACCUCGCAAGAGGGUGGCCGAUCGGGAGCUCUGUGCUUUCAAACCGUCUUCGGACAAUUUCUGACAACUUGACCUCAAAUCGAGUAGGACUACCCGCUGAACUUAAGCAUAUCAAUAAGCGGAGGG
rnacentral:misc_RNA from 1 species